UGUAUAUACAAUCAGAUUACAACAGUUUAUUUACUAUACUGGAGCAGCCUCAAACGCCGGGAACCAGCGUAGAUUUUUAAACCAAUUUCUAAAUACGCCAUUUUGGAAUUCAUCCGAAUUAUGACUGUAAACACACUUAUUUACAUGGUAUUUUGGAUUCAAAAUAGUACGUAUACAGAAAAUACUGUAUGCAAGCAGUUCAACUGGGAGCAAGUUUAUGCUUAACAAAACAUGCAUAAGCCUAUAGUUUUGAAUCCAAGAUUUACCCUGUCAGAUGGAUUUAAUGUUUGACCUCAAACGGUGGACUGUUUCAUUUAAUUUCUAUGCAGAGAGAAUCAAUAUACAUUUCCAUAAUAGGCUGUGAAGUGUAGUCUAAAAAAUUACUCCGGAAAUCUGUUCUGUUGGCCACCACAAACAAUUAACUAAUGAUUAUGUAUGCAAUUUAUUAUAUACAAUGUCCAGUCAGGAAAAUCUAAGCAAUGUUAUAUUGAUGAUCAUUUCUAAAAGGGAAGACUAUAGGUCUAGUAAAAUGGAUAUGUGUCAUUCACUGAACAUACAAAGUAUUUUAGAUUCAUAUUCCUUGAGGAAAAGAUAAGAUUUUAAUAUUGGAUGUAGUUACAACUUGCUAUUUUAGAAAUUUUAAAAAUUUAGAAUUACAAUUUUUUUUGUGAAUUAUGAUAUAUAUGAGAGGCAUUGGCUCUUGAGAAAAUAGUAAAAAUUUGCUUAUAAGCUGCCAAUUUUUUGGUAUUGAAUUUUAUGUAUAGUACUGCAUUGUACAUUUGGACAAAAAACAUGUAAAAAAAUUAUAUUAUAUUUAUUUAAAAACUAAUGAAUAUAGUGAAAUUAUUUUUAUUCCACGUUCGACUGUAUUCAUAGAAAUUAUGUGUGUAAGGGUUUCAAGUAUAUUUGUAGAAACCUUCUUUAUAACAUUUUUACUUUAAUAAUUUGACAUUCACCUGUAUGAUACUAUGCACAUAUAAUUGUGACUUUAAAGUUAAUAAAUUUGAA